AGGAACAGCCAGAUAAAACAGUAGAUAUAAGUGAUUUGGCCACCAAGCUCCUGGACAGUUGGAAAGACCUAAAGCUUCUCAGGGCAGCAAGGAGCUUGUUAACAUCACCAGCUGACCAUGUGUCUCCUUUUCUCAACUCCAUUUUCAACUUCGUGCUGAAGAAAAACAAGAACCUAGCGUGCAUUCUAUGAAGAAAACAGGAAGAUGGUUGGGAAGUUGGAUGAUGCAUGAAAAAUAUAAUAGGAGGUAUAUCGAAUUCCAAAGAAAAGUCAAACUGAAAAGGAGAGCACAAUAACCGAACGAGGAAGGGAUGCUGUUGGCUUCAGAGAUCAAACAGUUGCCCCAAAG